GGCCCUGUGGUCAAGAGGUUAAGACAUCACCCUUUCACGGUGAAAUCUCGGGUUCGAUUCCCGGCAGGGUCACCA
rnacentral:tRNA from 1 species